GCAUCAAAUGAGAGUGACAGGUGAAACAGUUUCAAGACAAUGGCAGGAAAAGCAUGCUGAAGAUUGAAUCAAACCUUGGCUGGAAAUAUUUGAAGGGAUCUAGCCAGUCCACAAUGAAAGCUUCGUUGCCCCCCUGUGAGUCUUCUGGCAGAAAUGAUGGCGCCUGUAUUCUUUGGUUUCCCUAAACAUCACACCCUGUUUAUACGAGGCUCUUCAAUUAAGUCUGCACCCAAAGAUUCAAUAAGAGAGGGGAUCCUGCCAGUCCAAAGUGAACUCCUGAUGGACAUUGAAGUACUCCUGCAGAGCUUGUAUCUUCGACACCAUGCGCAUUAGAAACUCCACUGAGUGCUUUCCUUCACCAAGGCAGGACCCAGUGACUCAUUACUGUUGAUCGGUCAGGCGCAGGUCAUUUUUUGUUUCAUGUUUAUUCAUUUCUCCAUGGAUUACCAGCCAUAUAUAUGGACAUAUGCUGUAUUCUCAAGAUCUAUGCUGUUUGGUAGGAAUAGAGAAAAUGAUAUGUUUAGUCUGUUUUCAAAUGGUAUGUCAAAUUUUCUCAUUGUUUAUCAGUAAUAUUCACUACCUUGGUUUUAUAUGAGCAUCUUUAGAUUUUUCUAUAUUUAGCGGUUGCAAAUGUAAAAUGUACGGUAAACUAUUUAUGUUCCUCAUAUUGUACUGUAUUUUUAGCGGUAAAAUACCGGCAGCUGUGGUUGCCAGGAAUUUACCGUAAAAUGUAUCUGGUCAAAAUAAAAUGCUGUAAUUUGUUAUACAAUUUCA